UACAGAGGUGGCAAGCGUUGUUCGGAAUUACUGGGCGUAAAGGGCGCGUAGGCGGUUCGAUAAGUCCCGUGUGAAAUCCCUCGGCUCAACUGAGGAACUGCACGGGAAACUGACGGGCUUGAGUUCGGGAGAGGGAAGCGGAAUUCCGGGUGUAGCGGUGAAAUGCGUAGAUAUCCGGAGGAACACCGGUGGCGAAGGCGGCUUCCUGGACCGACACUGACGCUGAGGCGCGAAAGCGUGGGGAGCAAACAGG
rnacentral:rRNA from 1 species